UACGUAGGGUGCGAGCGUUAAUCGGAAUUACUGGGCGUAAAGCGUGCGCAGGCGGUUCGUUGUGUCGGCGGUGAAAGCCCCGGGCUCAACCUGGGAAUGGCCGUUGAAACUGGCGAACUGGAGUGUGGCAGAGGGGGGUGGAAUUCCGCGUGUAGCAGUGAAAUGCGCAGAUAUCAGGAGGAACACCGAUGGCGAAGGCAGGUCUCUGGGCUGUAACUGACGCUGAGGAGCGAAAGCAUGGGGAGCGAACAGG
rnacentral:rRNA from 1 species